UUUUUUUUGAGAACCUGCACCAAAAUAAUGACGACACUCACCACUUACAUCUUGACGCACCUCCACGUGUCUGACAAAACCGACUAAUGUCCAGAUGUUGAGUCUGGUUGCUGAUGGGAUUGUUCAGCACACAACUGAGAGAGUCACAUGACUCACAUUCAACACUGAACACAGCAAAGAACAAUUCUGACUUGACGAUCCUGAAGAUGAGGAUGAGCAGUUUGAAGAGUUUCUGAUGAUAACAGGAACGGGCAGACAAGCUGGAAAAUAUAAAAAAAAUAAGACAAAAUAAGAAUACUUAAGCUCUUCUGGAUCUGAUGUCAUAAACCACUAUGAUAACAGUAAUCACACCCACCACAGCAGAGAUGACCAAUCGAAUCACAGCUUCAGUGAAACCGCAACACUGAACAGAAUCUGAG